ensembl:lncRNA
AAAAGACAUAAAGAAAUACUAAAUGUGAUACAGAUAAACUUUGGGGCAAAAAAGUUCUACUCAUUGAGAACAAAGAAGAAAAUGUCACCAGAUUUUGAUUCAAAUAUUGCUUCACCCUGCGAGGAGGGAAGGGAGAUCUCCCAGGUGUGUGUGUGUGUGUGUGUGUGUGUGUGUGUGUGUGUGUGUGUUUGCAGCAGCCAGAAGUGAACUGCAGUGACAGCAAACAUCAGCAUUGUCACAACACAACAGGAAGUCCUCACACACCAAUGCAAGCAGGCAGCUCUAACUAUAAAAUAGUCCUGCAAAAAAAAAUGAAGAAACUGAAGAAACGGGAUAUGUGAAGGAGC